rnacentral:rRNA from 1 species
CCUACGGGAGGCAGCAGUGGGGAAUAUUGCACAAUGGGGGAAACCCUGAUGCAGCGACGCCGCGUGAGUGAAGAAGUAUUUCGGUAUGUAAAGCUCUAUCAGCAGGGAAGAAAAUGACGGUACCUGAUUAAGAAGCCCCGGCUAACUACGUGCCAGCAGCCGCGGUAAUACGGAGGAUGCGAGCGUUAUCCGGAUUGAGUGGGUUUAAAGGGUGCGCAGGGGGUUUGUUAAGUCAGCGGUCAAAGCCCGGGGCAAAACCCCGGCCGCAGUGGAAACUGGCAGUCUCGAGUUGGAGAGAAGUAGGCGGAAUGCGCGGUGUAGCGGUGAAAUGCAUAGAUAUCGGGCAGAACUCCGAUUGCGAAGGCAGCAUGCCGGCUCCACACUGACGCUGAGGCACGAAAGCGUGGGUAGCGAACAGGAUUAGAUACCCUGGUAGUC